UUUACACAAUGAGGUGGCAACACCCUCUGCAACAUCUUUUGUGGAAGCCACCAAACACCUGAGUGCUGGCUCUGUGACCUGGCAGACAGGCCGAAGACACAGAGACAGGACGAUGUGUCCCAUGGAGCUGGAGAGGGGCCUGGGUGCUGCAGGAAACACGAGGACAGGACUGGGAUCAAUAUUGGAAACC